ACAAUUAUUCAAUUACAGUUACUGUAAAGAAAACAACCUGUAACAUGAGUCUGUGUGAAACAUUCUGAAGAGAGAUUGUGAAACCAGAACAGAUGAUUGUUGUAACACUGUCCCAUUUCAUGCUUGCAGUUACUGUAAAGAAAACAACCUGUAACAUGAGUCUGUGUGAAAC